rnacentral:rRNA from 1 species
UACGUAGGGGGCGAGCGUUGUCCGGAUUUAUUGGGCGUAAAGAGCGUGUAGGCGGCCAGGUAGGUCUGCUGUGAAAACUCGAGGCUCAACCUCGAGACGUCGGCGGAAACCAUCUGGCUAGAGUCCGGAAGAGGAGAGUGGAAUUCCUGGUGUAGCGGUGAAAUGCGUAGAUAUUCGGAAGAACACCAGUGGCGAAGGCGGCCCACUGGACGUGUAUUGACGCUGAGGUGCGAAAGCGUGGGGAGCAAACAGG